rnacentral:rRNA from 1 species
AAUCAACGCUGGCGGCGUGCCUAACACAUGCAAGUCGAACGCGAAAGCCCCGCAAGGGGGUAAGUAGAGUGGCAAACGGGUGAGUAACACGUGGGUGACCUGCCCUCGAGUGGGGGAUAACGUCCCGAAAGGGACGCUAAUACCGCAUAAUAUGCCGCCUUUUAAGAGGUGGACAUCAAAGCUGGGGAUCGCAAGACCUAGCGCUUGAAGAGGGGCCCGCGCCUGAUUAGCUAGUUGGNGGGGUAAUGGCUCACCAAGGCAACGAUCAGUAUCCGGCCUGAGAGGGCGGACGGACACACUGGGACUGAGACACGGCCCAGACUCCUACGGGAGGCAGCAGUGGGGAAUUGUUCGCAAUGGGCGCAAGCCUGACGACGCAACGCCGCGUGGAGGAUGAAGACCUGGUCGU